GAUGAACGCUGGCGGCGUGCCUAAUACAUGCAAGUAGAACGCUGAAGGAGGAGCUUUCUCUUCUGGAUGAGUUCCGCACACGGGAGUGUCGCGUAUGUAACCUCCCUGUUUGCGGGGGGGAAAUAUUGGAGACGAUAGCUAUUAUCCCAUAUCAACAGUUAUUGCAUGAUAACUAUUUAUAAAGGGCAACUUUUCCACUACCAGAUGGACCUGCGUUGUAUUAUCUAGUUGGUGAGGUAACGGCUCAACAAGGCGACGAUACAUAGCCGACCUGAGAGGGUGAUCGGCCACAAUGGGACUGAGAAACGGCCCAGACUCCUACGGGAGGCAGCAGUAGGGAAUCUUCGGCAAUGGACGGAAGUCUGAACGAGCAACGCCGCGGGAGUGAAGAAGGGUUUCGGAUCGUAAAGCUCUGUUGUAAGAGAAGAACGAGUGUGAGAGUGGAAAGUUCACACUGUGACGGUAUCUUACCAGAAAGGGACGGCUAACUACGUG
rnacentral:rRNA from 1 species